UCAGCCGUAGCGGUCUGCAGGGGGAAUCGCAGAAGCUGGAGUUUCUUAGAGCGCUGCAUGGGUUUGGACAAACAUUAGGGAGAAGCAAACACAAACGAUUCGUGAGUGCAUCGUACGUGUUGUAAGAGCAAGUGAAGCUGAAAGACAUUGACAGUGAAGUGAUGGCUCCCUCUAUCAAUCUCUUCACCUUCCUCGUCCUGUCCCUGGUGGGGGGCAGCUCUUCAUGGGACUUAGCUUCGCCUUGCGGAUCCGGCUCCAUCCUGACAAGGCCCUACACGGCCUUGUGUGAGCUGGAUGCGGUGUGGGGCUUGGUGGUGGUGGUGGCGGCAGCGGCGGCGGCCCUCGCCUCGCUGAUCCUGCUCCUGGUGGUACUGUGUCGCCUGCGGAAGAUCACAGAGGCUGAGGAGCGCAG